rnacentral:rRNA from 1 species
AGCAGCCGCGGUAAUUCCAGCUCCAAUAGCGUAUAUUAAAGUUGUUGCAGUUAAAAAGCUCGUAGUUGAAUUUCGGGGUUCUACCGUUGGUCGGGCUUUGUCUGUACUGGCGUGUAGAAUUUCUACCUUCUGGGGAACCAUCAUGUUAUUAAUUUAACGUGGUGGGAAACCGGGACCUUUACCUUGAAAAAAUUAGAGUGUUCAAAGCAGGCUUAUGUCUGAAUACAUUAGCAUGGAAUAAUAGAAUAGGACGGUGGUCCUGUUUUGUUGGUUUCUGAAUCACCGUAAUGAUUAAUAGGGAUAGUUGGGGGCAUUAGUAUUCAAUUGUCAGAGGUGAAAUUCUUGGAUUUAU